rnacentral:rRNA from 1 species
GACGAACGCUGGCGGCGUGCCUAAUACAUGCAAGUAGAACGCUGAAGGAGGAGCUUGCUUCUCUGGAUGGGUUGCGAACGGGUGAGUAACGCGUAGGUAACCUGCCUGGUAGCGGGGGAUAACUAUUGGAAACGAUAGCUAAUACCGCAUAAUAGUAGAUGUUGCAUGACAUUUUCUUAAAAGGUGCAAUUGCAUCACUACCAGAUGGACCUGCGUUGUAUUAGCUAGUUGGUGGGGUAACGGCUCACCAAGGCGACGAUACAUAGCCGACCUGAGAGGGUGAUCGGCCACACUGGGACUGAGACACGGCCCAGACUCCUACGGGAGGCAGCAGUAGGGAAUCUUCGGCAAUGGACGGAAGUCUGACCGAGCAACGCCGCGUGAGUGAAGAAGGUUGUCGGAUCGUAAAGCUCUGUUGUAAGAGAAGAACGAGUGUGAGAGUGGAAAGUUCACACUGUGACGGUAUCUUACCAGAAAGGGACGGCUAACUACGUG